rnacentral:tRNA from 1 species
AGAAACUUAGGCUAAUUUAGACCAAAGGCCUUCAAAGCCUUAAGUGUGGGUAAACCCCUUCAGUU